UACGGGGGGGGCAAGCGUUGUUCGGAAUUACUGGGCGUAAAGGGCGCGUAGGCGGCCCGAUAAGUAGGGGGUGAAAUCUUGCGGCUCAACCGCAAGGCUGCCUUCUAGACUGUCGGGCUUGAGCACUGUAGAGGCAGGUGGAAUUCCCGGUGUAGCGGUGGAAUGCGUAGAGAUCGGGAAGAACAUCGGUGGCGAAGGCGACUUCCUGGCCUGUUCUUGACGCUGAGGCGCGAAAGCUAGGGGAGCAAACGGG
rnacentral:rRNA from 1 species